AAGUGAAACUGCGAAGUACGGAGCACAUAAAUAAAAUAUUCUCUAGUUUUUCGUUUGAAUCCAAUUUACAGUUGAAAAUGCCAAAUGCCAAAAGUGGUCUCAAGAAGUAUUGUUGUUUCAGACACAAAAGAUCAAGAAGGAAAACCUCUCCAAUCCUAUUACUGUUUGUUUGAUUCCCUGUUAGAUAAAUUGCCACUGAGAAAAAGGAAUGGCUCUUGUGUCAUUAUUGGUUCCAAUUUCCAAACAGGUGAACAAAACAAACUGUGGUCCUGAUGAGAUGGUUUACAUUAGAUGUGAAGAAGUCAUUGAAAAUAGCAUAAAUGAUUUUUUAGCAAGUGUGGCCGUCAACUAUACCACAAGCAAAACCCAAACAGCAAUAUAACUUAUUAUAAUUGCUGCUUCAGAGAGUCAGGUGAAGGAAGUUAAGAAACGUGUUGAAUGCAUCAUGUGUAGCUGUAAGGUGCUAAAAAACAACCACAGAAGACACUCGUAACAAAACAGAACAAGGAUAUGGUAUUUAAGAUAGUAGGUUAAGUUAACUUAUUAGUUGAUUGAUUGAUAUGAUUAUGAUUAUUUGUUCAGGGUAAAUUCUCUUCUGCCACUGUGUCUUCUAUCGAAGAUGAAGACAAAAUCGAAGAGCGAGAAGUGUCCGAGCCGUAAGCUAAUAACGCGCGAUUUAUUGAGAAACAAAAAGUUUGCAAGGAAAGGAGUUUUGAAACGCAAGACGGACAUUCCUGAAGUUGAAACACCAAACAACUUGUUCUAGGAACGUUAAUCUAUAAGUGCAAUUUGCUGUUUUAAGUAUGUGACCAAUAUUUCCUUCAUUUUCGAAUUUUUUGUUCUAAUUUUGUAAUAAAUGCUUUUUAGAAACACCGCAAGUUAAAAACACAGCUCACUUUUGAGGUUAUAUGUAAAAAUGCAAAUAAGUUUCUUCAUUUUCAAUACAGUGAAUUUGUCUGACUUGCCAAGUUCAACUCCCAUUUAGCUUUCUAUGUGACCUUGUUGUGGACUUGUGGGCUUUUUCAUAUUUUUUUAUAUAAGAAUGACUGACUAACUUCUUGCAAUGCAGUGGAAUCGUGAUUGAUGUCAGUUUAAAGUUUUUCACAGUAACUGAAUUGAAUGAUUUUUUCAUUUUCUAUUCCGUGGCAUAGAUUUGACAGGUGUAUAUGCAUGAAAAUAAGAUAACAAAGAAUCGGUGUUUGACGUUUGAAAAAAUGCCUUGUCAUGAUUUGCGUCACAAUUGGUAUUAUUUCAUCUUUUUCUGUGACAUAUUUUGUUGACUUUCCCAUCUUACAGGCGUCAUUAACAUAUA